UACGAAGGGGGCUAGCGUUGCUCGGAAUCACUGGGCGUAAAGCGCACGUAGGCGGCUUAUUAAGUCAGGGGUGAAAUCCUGGAGCUCAACUCCAGAACUGCCUUUGAUACUGAUGAGCUUGAGUCCGGGAGAGGUGAGUGGAACUGCGAGUGUAGAGGUGAAAUUCGUAGAUAUUCGCAAGAACACCAGUGGCGAAGGCGGCUCACUGGCCCGGUACUGACGCUGAGGUGCG
rnacentral:rRNA from 1 species